rnacentral:lncRNA from 1 species
UUGCUGCAGUUAUUGCUGCUUUUUCUGGUCGCUUUGUUUCUCACGAUCCCACUUAUUCCCGGUGCUAUGCUUACCAUGCAGUUGAGGUUUACUUUCAGGGUUUUCUUCGAGUCGCGCCGACAUUCCAGGAGGAGCUCAUGGAGCGCCGCAGAUUAUUUUGGACAUGAUACGCCAGGGCCGGCAGAAAUCCCGUUCCUGAACGAGCUGUGCAUAUCGAAGGCUGUCCAGCUCGAGUCCACGAUGGAGCUGGCGUUGAACACCGCCUGUCCUGUGGCCGUGUCGGCAGCACUUCCACAUUGAACCGCCGAUGCUCCUGUCAGUAGGAGGGACUUAAAUAAGCGCCAUGCAUUACUCAUGCUUUUCCGCAUCUGUCUUCCACUGCUACCCGUGACAAGGACAUCGAGCUGGCUCCUGCAGACUGGUUCUAAUGCCUACGUUCCCGAGGUCCCCUGGGCAUCACACGUCACAUGACCGAACUUACUGCCACCUUCGCACUGCUUAGCUGAAUGGCGUCCUCAAGGGAGACUGCGCAUUGCCGCUACUCGUGAAAAUCUGUUGCUUCCCAGAGUCCAUCGCUACACGUGACAGACAUGGAGCUGGCUCCUGCGGACAGGUUCUAAUGCCUACGUUCCUGAGGUCCUCGGGGCACCACCAGUCGUAUGGCCGAACUUAUUGCCACCUUUGCACAGCUUCGCUGAC